rnacentral:tRNA from 2 species
GCCCUAGAAGCUCAACGCCCGAGCAUCGGUCUUGUAAUCCGAAAGUUGGAGGUUAAAAUCCCCCCUAAGGCU